AGGGAAUCUUCCGCAAUGGACGAAAGUCUGACGGAGCAACGCCGCGUGAGUGAUGAAGGCUUUCGGGUCGUAAAACUCUGUUGUUAGGGAAGAACAAGUGCUAGUUGAAUAAGCUGGCACCUUGACGGUACCUAACCAGAAAGCCACGGCUAACUACGUGCCAGCAGCCGCGGUAAUACGUAGGUGGCAAGCGUUAUCCGGAAUUAUUGGGCGUAAAGCGCGCGCAGGUGGUUUCUUAAGUCUGAUGUGAAAGCCCACGGCUCAACCGUGGAGGGUCAUUGGAAACUGGGAGACUUGAGUGCAGAAGAGGAAAGUGGAAUUCCAUGUGUAGCGGUGAAAUGCGUAGAGAUAUGGAGGAAC
rnacentral:rRNA from 1 species